AUCAAUUCUUGUUGUAGGGCCACAUUUGAAAAAAAUGAUAUAGCAGCUAAUUCACUGUUAUAUAUAACGUUAAUUGAACUACUUCUGCCCACCUGAUUUUUCGUGGAAAGCAGUGGGCGUAAUCUUUGAAAAAUAAUCAGGUGUAAUAUUUUAAAAGACAAAUGCUUGAAACAUCCGUGCAACCUAUCGUGUCUGACAUUGCAAAUAGUUAUUCCUAAAUAUGAUUAAGAAAAAGAUCUUACAACUUUCUAGCAAAC
rnacentral:lncRNA from 1 species